rnacentral:rRNA from 1 species
CAAAGACUCUCGGCAACGGAUAUCUCGGCUCUUGCAUCGAUGAAGAACGUAGCGAAAUGCGAUACUUGGUGUGAAUUGCACAAUCCCGUGAACCAUCGAGUCGUUGAACGCAAGUUGCGCCCGACGCCAUCAGGUCGAGGGCACGCCUGCCUGGGUGUCGCAC